GGAGGCUUUGAAGUGUGGACGCCAGUCUGCAUGGAGCCGACCUUGAAAUACCACCCUUUAAUGUUUGAUGUUCUAACGUUGGCCCGUAAUCCGGGUUGCGGACAGUGUCUGGUGGGUAGUUUGACUGGGGCGGUCUCCUCCUAAAGAGUAACGGAGGAGCACGAAGGUUGGCUAAUCCUGGUCGGACAUCAGGAGGUUAGUGCAAUGGCAUAAGCCAGCUUGACUGCGAGCGUGACGGCGCGAGCAGGUGCGAAAGCAGGUCAUAGUGAUCCGGUGGUUCUGAAUGGAAGGGCCAUCGCUCAACGGAUAAAAGGUACUCCGGGGAUAACAGGCUGAUACCGCCCAAGAGUUCAUAUCGACGGCGGUGUUUGGCACCUCGAUGUCGGCUCAUCACAUCCUGGGGCUGAAGUAGGUCCCAAGGGUAUGGCUGUUCGCCAUUUAAAGUGGUACGCGAGCUGGGUUUAGAACGUCGUGAGACAGUUCGGUCCCUAUCUGCCGUGGGCGCUGGAGAACUGAGGGGGGCUGCUCCUAGUACGAGAGGACCGGAGUGGACGCAUCACUGGUGUUCGGGUUGUCAUGCCAAUGGCACUGCCCGGUAGCUAAAUGCGGAAGAGAUAAGUGCUGAAAGCAUCUAAGCACGAAACUUGCCCCGAGAUGAGUUCUCCCUGACUCCUUGAGAGUCCUGAAGGAACGUUGAAGACGACGACGUUGAUAGGCCGGGUGUGUAAGCGCAGCGAUGCGUUGAGCUAACCGGUACUAAUGAACCGUGAGGCUUAACCUU
rnacentral:rRNA from 1 species